AAAAAAAAGGAGAACUGGACAAGUCACACAAUUGCACACAGAGGAAGGAGCUGAGGGCUAAGCUAGGCUGAAGCUAGCUCCCUCGUGUCUGGAGUGGAUUACCUUGAGUCGCACGGGAGCAGACGGUGUUGCCGAGGGAGAUCCAGCACUAACCUGCGUGGGAGGACGACAGCGCAGUGGGGAUUCCGUGAGCAGACGUCUUGUGUUCCCUGAAGGUCAGUGCUGGUCCGUUCACUCUGUUGGCUCACGUUGUCCUGUGUGAGUAAUCUCCAGUCAUGCACCAGUUCCCCUCACCAAGAUCCAGCGCUUUUAUAUUUACCUGUGCUCCACGCCACUGCCGGGCCAGCACCUAUACCUCUCACUCAUCUACCUGUCCCCCUCGAUUACAACUUGCCUUCACUUGCUGCCAUCUGGUCACCUCCAGUCCUGCAACCUCCACUCACCCGGGCCUCUCACCCCCACCUGGAUAUGCCAGCUCCAGCAAAAUUUCCACUCAGCUUCCCUUCUGCCAGCAAUGCCGAUCCAACAUCAGCAACCUAACAGGACAAGUACAGACUUCAGCGGACAG